AUUACGUCUGAUUAACCUGUUUUUAUGCUCCGUAUCCGAAAUAUGUUAACCUUAACUUAAAAUUUCUUGAAACUCUGGUUUUGAACGUAUUCAUUUCUUCACUAAUUGAGCUGACAUUUUCUGGAGAAUCUGACAGAAUACAAGGACCAACUAAAAAUAAUACUGAAAGCCACUCGACUUGAGCCUAAGUCAUUUGAAACACAAGCCUAACAAGUCAAUCAGGUCCAUUUCCAGGGACAUGAGAGUGUCUGAGUUUCUUAUCAGGUAAGUAGGGCAUGAAGACAUUUGGUAUUCAUCAUACAAGAUGAGAAAGGGCCAAUUUUUAGCCCAAGCCAUCAAGGACAAGAGGAAAUGCCGUGCUAUGAAGCUUUUGAACAAACUCCAGUAUCCCCUCCAACCAAACAUGCUUUGGUUUUUCUGAGACAAGAAAAAUUUCUGCCAGGAUCAGAUGGUGAACACACAGAACAACCGUUGGCUUGCCAUGUCCCCAAAACAUGUUCUGAGAAUGAUAAAAAUCAAACAUCCAGUCAUCAUGAUGGUGCUUGGAGUGAUCAUUAGUGAUGGUGACGUUAUGUCUCCAUUCAUCUUCUCACAUAGCCUCAGACUCAACACAGAGGCCUACACCAAGUGCCUGGAGGAGAUAGUGCUGUCCUGGGUCAAGAGGGUUGCUGCUGGAAGACCCUGUGUCUGGCAACAGGACUCUGCACCAUGCCACACAAGCAGGAGAACCCAGCCAUGACUGUCAGACAAUUUCUACAACCACACCACCCCUAACAUCUGGCCACCUAACUCUCCAGACUGCAAUCCCCUUGAUUAUUAUAUGUGGGGCACAGUUAAGUGAGAGACCAAUAAAACUCCUUGUAAUACCAAAGACGAACUGAAAGCAAGGGUUAUAGCAGCCUUCACCAACGUAAACAAGGUGACCAUCCAGAAGAGUUGCAGGAGAUUCCGAAGUCGUCUGAAGGCCG